rnacentral:tRNA from 2 species
AUUUAAAUAAUUUAAAAAAAAUAUUGAUUUGUGGUGUCAAAAAUAUGAUAGUUAAUUCAUUUUAAGUU